GCUGUGACGGUGACCGACUCUACUAUGAUGGCUGUGCCAUGAUUGCGAUGAAUGGGAGCAUCUUUGCCCAGGGAACCCAGUUCUCAUUGGAUGAUGUGGAGGUUCUCACUGCCACGCUGGACCUGGAGGACGUCAGGAGCUACAGGGCAGAGAUCUCAUCACGGAACCUGGAGGUGAGUGCUCUGGGAGGCGCCAGCUCAGACAGGCCUUUCAGGUGGCAUGGUAUGCUGUGGGCUUGGCCAAGGCCAUGGGGCCGGCAUGUGGAACCAUGCAGAGACAUGACAGCUUGUUCCCUUCCCCUGAUUCCUAGCCACCACUGGUCUGCUUUCUGCCUGUAACAGUGUGAACGUUUUCAGAGACACUACUGCACCACAGAUGCUGUUGUAGGCCUGGCCCCUCUAACUAAGCGAGCAUCCUUGGAGUCCACCAUGUGGAAGCAGAAUGGG
rnacentral:lncRNA from 1 species